rnacentral:rRNA from 1 species
AUUUGGGACCGGCCACGACUAACAAAUGCAAAGGCACUUGUCUAGACCGUUUCCAUUAAUCAAGAACGAAAGUGGGAGGUUCGAAGACGAUCAGAUACCGUCCUAGUUCCCACCGUAAACUAUGCCGACCUGGGAUCAGUUCAGAGAUGUUACAAGCUCUGGAUUGGUCCCCCUGGGAAACCUGAAGUUUUUCGGUUACGGGGAAAGUAUGGUCGCAAGGCUGAAACUUAAAGGAAUUGACGGAAGGGCACCACCAGGGGUGGAGCCUGCGGCUUAAUUUGACUCAACACGGGGAAACUUACCUGGUCCGGACAUCGAUAGGAUUAACAGAUCAAUAGCUCUUUUAUGAUACGAUGAGUGGUGGUGCAUGGCCGUUCUUAGUUCGUGGAGUGAUCUGUCGGCCUAAUCGCGGUAACGAACGAGACCACAGUCUCCAUUUAAGAGAUAGAAGAAGACAUGUGCAGUUUGGUGAGGUGGCACUCGCUGCUACCUCAUCAGCUGUUGGUUGCAGGAAGGAUGAAGCGCUCAUGUCGGUGAGUUUGUGGGGAAACUUGCGCUCUCAUCGGUGUGAGUGUAUCAUUUCUCCCUUCUAUCACGCAGUAGUCGGUAUCAACUGGCUGCUGCCUUAUGGAGAGACAACGAGGUAUAUACAAGCUCGAGGAAGAGUGGCUAUAACAGGUCAGUGAUGCCCUUCGAUGUUCAGGGCUGCACGCGCGCUACAAUGAUAACGACAACGAGUGUCUGCGUCGAAAGACGUGGGUAAUCUUUAAUCGUUAUCGUGAUGGGGAUUGACCGUUGUAAUUAUCGGUCAUGAAAGAGGAAUCCCUAGUAUGCGCAUUUUAUUAGAAUGUGCAGAUUGAGUCCCUGCCCUUUGUACACACCGCCCGUCGCUACUACCGAGUGAUGUGUGUGUGC